rnacentral:rRNA from 1 species
UACAGAGGGGGGCAAGCGUUGUUCGGAAUUACUGGGCGUAAAGGGCGCGUAGGCGGCCUUCUAAGUCGAACGUGAAAUCCCCGGGCUCAACCCGGGAACUGCGUCCGAUACUGGAAGGCUUGAAUCCGGGGAGAGGGAUGUGGAAUUCCAGGUGUAGCGGUGAAAUGCGUAGAUAUCUGGAGGAACACCGGUGGCGAAGGCGACAUCCUGGGACCGGUAUUGACGCUGAGGCGCGAAAGCCAGGGGAGCAA